rnacentral:rRNA from 1 species
GACGAACGCUGGCGGCGUGCUUAACACAUGCCAGUCGAACGGAAAGGCCCUGCUUUUGUGGGGUGCUCGAGUGGCGAACGGGUGAGUAACACGUGAGUAACCUGCCCUUGACUUUGGGAUAACUUCAGGAAACUGGGGCUAAUACCGGAUAGGAGCUCCUGCUGCAUGGUGGGGGUUGGAAAGUUUCGGCGGUUGGGAUGGACCUGCGGGUUAUCAGCUUGUUGGUGGGGUAGUGGCUUACCAAGGCUUUGACGGGUAGCCGGCCUGGGAGGGUGACCGGCCACAUUGGGACUGAGAUACGGCCCAGACUCCUACGGGAGGCAGCAGUGGGGAAUAUUGCACAAUGGGCGGAAGCCUGAUGCAGCAACGCCGCGUGCGGGAUGACGGCCUUCGGGUUGUAAACCGCUUUCGCCUGUGACGAAGCGUGAGUGACGGUAAUGGGUAAAGAAGCACCGGCUAACUACGUG